rnacentral:rRNA from 1 species
UACGUAGGGGGCUAGCGUUGUCCGGAUUUAUUGGGCGUAAAGCGCGUGUAGGCGGCCAGAUAGGUCUGCUGUGAAAACUCGAGGCUCAACCUCGAGCUGUCGGCGGAAACCAUCCGGCUAGAGUCCGGAAGAGGAGAGUGGAAUUCCUGGUGUAGCGGUGAAAUGCGCAGAUAUCAGGAAGAACACCCGUGGCGAAGGCGGCUCUCUGGGACGGUACUGACGCUGAGACGCGAAAGCGUGGGGAGCGAACA